GUUUUAUUUCUCAUCCCCGAUUCCCUUUUCUUUCCCGAUUCCCUUUUCUUUCUCAGCCUGUUCUUUUUUGCUUGACUAAAAUUAAAAACCUGUUCUUCUAUUUUAUACUCGGAAAUCCUCUCAACCUGUUAUUCUAUUUUAUUUCUCAUUCUGUUCUUUGAUUUCUCGAAACCCUAAACACCCACUGUGCCCCCUAUCCUCAGAGGCUGUAACCGAGCAACCGUUUACCCAGUUUCCCGACGCCUAGCCACUUUACCCAGCAGCGAACUCAGUCUUAGCAAGUUCUUCGCUUGUCAAGAGGCUCCUGGAAGGGACACAUUGUUCAAGCUACUACGAGGAAUUUGGGUUACUUUUUCUUCUCUCUUUGUUGUCUUUGGUUUAUCUGUCUGUUCUUGGUAUCUAAGUUGUAUGGUGCGACUUGCAGGAGAUGCUUAUAAAGUAGGGCUUCUUAAAAGCCUCCCAAAUGCACAAACCAAGUUAAGAUUGUAUGAAGCUGAUAUAUACAAUCCCAGUGAGUUUCAAGCAGCAAUUCUCAGGUUGUCAGUUCAUAUGGCCACCCCAUUACAGCACCCGUCCCAAAUUUAGUUUUUUUUUUAAAAUUUGGGUAGCUGUCAAGAUUUGUUUUUGUAAGACUUUAUUAUCGAAAUGCAAGACCUCAAAGCGAGGAAAGCUCUCUCCGACUAUUUUUUUGUUCACAAAAUUUGAACUCAGACUUUACUAAUCAGUAGGGACUUAACCUUGUUAGAGAAAAGUUAAAUUCAUGAGACCUUCAUGUUAAAGAUUACCCUAGUUCUCAGCUUGAGUAAAUGGAAACUUUAUAGUGAAUGAGAGCAGACCUGUGCUGUUUCAAAUCCGGGGUACACUUUACACCAUUUGAAAUUUGAUGAAACAUCUAUAGGCAAUAAUACAAUUAAUCACAGUGGCAUUCCAGGGUAUGAUUGUUGUUUUUAUUGAAGCAUAUAAAAGAACUGAAUUGUAUGGACUUGAGCCUGAAUUGUAUGGACUUGAGCCUGCCCUGCCCACAAUGGGACAAAAGAAGUAUUUGAUAACAUGAAUAGUAUUUGAUAGCAAUAAAAUAAACUAAUGUAAUUAUUAGUAAUUAUAUUUUUUUAUACUUGUUUUUGUUAUUCUUUAAAAAAAAAAGUAAUUUAUUAAUCCUUUGCUAAGCAUAUUUUUUUCUUUAAUGCAAUUGCGAAGAUGGUUGCACACAAAUUCAUUGUUGAUUUGAAUGAACCUCUUGUCUUCCAGGUACGAAUAAGAUCAUAUGUUUGAAUUUGGUUUAUCUUAUGGAACAAGCAUAUGUGGUGACAGCUUUGGUGUUAUUGGUUUUCAGUUCACUUAUUUAGUUUCUUAUGUGAUUAAAAUAGCUACAUAUAGUUAUGUUAUGUGAUUACAUCGGCAAGUUCUUGAUAUAGAGCACGGGUUUGUUGGGCAGUUACCGAGCUCCAAAUAUGCUGUUUCUUUCUCUUUUUUGGUCAGACCGAAUUAAGCAGGCCAAAGUGUGUAAAGGGUUUUGGUUUGAGGAAACAUUUAAGUUUGGGUUUGGAGAUACGUAGUUAUCAGCAUUAGUUGGCAGAUAACAUUGUCCCAGUGCAGGUUGCCGUUCUUUGCCAAGAUGCGCUAUCCUUUUUAAUACCUGGUACAGACUAGAAUUAAUGGUUGUUUUUCAUUCCUGUUUUCUUUAGUCUUCUUCCACUAUCACAUAAGGAGCAUAAUGCUUGGUAUAUAUUUUCCAGAUAUUGUAGAAUUAACAUGAAUACACAAAUCGCAUAUUUUUAUAAAACAAGAAACAAAGGGGUCACAGUCCUUCUUAUCCACUCUCCAA